rnacentral:rRNA from 1 species
GGACGAACGCUGGCGGCGUGCCUAACACAUGCAAGUCGAGCGGAGAGGAAGGAGCUUGCUCCUGAAUCUUAGCGGCGGACGGGUGAGUAACGCGUGAGCAACCUGCCUUGAACUGGGGGAUAACGCAUCGAAAGAUGUGCUAAUACCGCGUAAGACCACAGCACCGCAUGGUGCAGGGGUCAAAGGAGCAAUCCGGUUUAAGAUGGGCUCGCGUCCGAUUAGCUAGUUGGUGAGAUAACAGCCCACCAAGGCAACGAUCGGUAGCCGACCUGAGAGGGUGAUCGGCCACAUUGGAACUGAGACACGGUCCAGACUCCUACGGGAGGCAGCAGUGGGGAAUAUUGGGCAAUGGGCGAAAGCCUGACCCAGCAACGCCGCGUGAGGGAAGAAGGGUUUCGGGUUGUAAACUUCUUUUACCAGGGACGAAGACGUGACGGUACCUGGAGAAAAAGCCACGGCUAACUACGUG